rnacentral:lncRNA from 1 species
UUAACAGUGGAUCCAUAAUCCUAACUAAUUUAAUUUCAUAGUUUCACAUAAAUUAAGUUGCAUAUUUAAAUUUUAUUUUUAUUUUUUAGAUAUACUAAAAUAAACAAAUUAACUCUUUUAUUUGUGGAUUGACAUCAGACUCACCGAGCUAUAUCAUACCUAGACACUAUUAUACUUGGGAAUAAAUUAAACACUUUUGAGUCAUGUUACAAAGUGACUGGUUUAUUUUGCUCAAGAUGUUGUGUAUGAUAAUUUGAUGUGUGUGCUACAUACAAUACAUAAAUUUCAAGAGGUGGGUAAACGUAAUUCUUGGAUAUCCAUCAGCUGAUGAUGAUAAUUGUGCCUCAGAAAAUACCUAUGGGAUAAAACCACAAGCAAAAGAGGUAUAGGUUAACGAAUUAUAAAGUGGCACUAGACUUGCUUCAAAACUACCUCAUUUAAAAUCUUUGCCAAUAAAAUCCAUUGGGAUAAAAACUUGGUCAGUGAAAAAGUAGUAUAAUGUACAUGUGUCUAGUUUAUUUGUUAAAAUUCUUUCUAAUAAAUAUUACGCUCACCUUUAUGGGUGCUCUCUCUAAUGAAUGCUCACUCUACUGGUAAUGUGUAUCAAUUUGAUUGUCCAUUGUAGUUGACCCAAGCCUAUCCCAUAUACUAUAUUCUCAAAUGCCGAUACAGGUAGUUUAAUUAAUGUAUCAACAAAAUUAUCUAUGAGUGUAUUUAAUAUCAAUUUUCUUGCUCUAUUAGAGCUCACAAGUGUAGAAGAACUUCAGUGUUCUAUGCUUUGUCCUAUCGCCUUUAAUAUAUUCUCCUUGGAGUUAUGCUAAGCAAGCAGCAUUAUCUUUAUAGAUUAUUAUCGUGACAUCUACACAUGAAGAUAUGAUGGAUGAUGGGCUGAGACAAUAACCAUAUACAUUCUCAACUUACUUUUAUCCAGUGAAAGGAUUUCAAAGUAGUUGGAGAAAGUAGCAACGAGAGUUUGCUUUUUAGAUUUCUAAGAAAUCGUGAUAAUAUUAAAAGUAAGGACACGGCUACCAUGCAGGGCAUAAAAUCCCUGUAUAGUGCAGGGGCUGCCUUUGAGCCGUUGGAUUCAGCUUGUUUGAAUCCAACGGUUGUGGUUUUAAUUUGAAAAAAACAAGAGAAAAAAUGAAUAAAAAUAGAAAAAAAAAAUAAGGCAACCGGUUAAAGGGGUAGCUACAGUACAUAAAAAACCCAAGCCUUAUCUCCUCAUCCCGAUCGAAAUUCACAACUCUCUCUCUCCAUGUCAGUCUUCAACCAAAAUGGACUGCUGUUGUGGCUCUGCUUCUCUCGACUAGUGAUGUUGCUACUGCUGCGUUUGUGCUCCGUCUUGAUUGGUGGUGGUGCUGCUGCUGUUGUUGCUGCUGCUCUCGCUCUCUCUCUCUCUCUCUCUCUCUCUCUCUCUCUCUCUCUCUCUCUCUCUCAGGUUGCUCCUAUAACGAGAUCUGAGCAUAUAUGUUGACGAGAUCUAAACAUUUAUGUUGAGGAUCGACAUUGGCUCACUAGUAUUAUUCUUCUAUUUGGGUAAAUUUUGAGUAAUUAUUAUUUAUCUUGUGCAUAUGAUUUCAUUAUUCUUAUAUUUCCAAGCUUUACUUGUCCUUGCGUUUUAAAGAAUAAGAAAAGAAAAGCAGUGUAAGAGAAAUAAUAAGAGUAGAAAUGGCAAUGUUGUCAAUGAAGAAAAAACCUCAUCCAAAAUUUUCCCUCUUAUCUCUUAAAUCCCUGACUAUAAUCUCUCAUUCACCCAAACUCGUUUCCUCUCCCAAAUCCCUUAAGCCGAAAAAUUGUAUCCUAAAGCAUUUUAAAGUUAUGGCUUGAAUCUCAAAGAACUGUUCGAAGUGGAGUUUGAUUAAUUUUUAACUCCUCCGUCAAAGACAAGCAAACCCAAGUAUUGGAGAAUCGACAAAUUCAUGGCUAUAUCAUAUUCUAUGGGAAGCUUUUAAUUUGCUUUUAUUUUGGUGAACAAUUUUUCUUUCUUAAUUUCUUUAAAUCUUUUCUGGGUUUACUUAUGUUUGGUGAAAUUGGAUGUGGGUUUUACUUUUUCAUUUUGUGAGGAAUUGUCACCAGCUUUUAUUUUUGCUAAGUAGGUGGUGGUAAUCGAACUAGGGAUUUUCGAGUUGCUGCUGCCGAUGUUAUUCAAGUUUGAGCUGCUGCUACUUGUUAGCCUAUAUGGCUAUAAAUAUUGAUUUUGAUGAUAACAAACCACAUGUAUUUAUUGAGUAAAGAUUUAUGAAUUGUACUUUUAUAAUAAGAAAAUGAUGUUAUGGAAUUAAAGCAUUUUGGACUAAAAUGAAAGUAAUUUCAAAAUCUUUAAUAGUGUUUUAAAUUUCAGAUUUGGACCUAUUUGAAACUAUUUAAAUAUUUUUAGGCUAUUCUAUAAUUUCAUAAAGUUUGGGCGAAGUCAUAAUUUCAGAAAAAUUGUGGGAUUGAGAAAGUAUUAUUUAAAAUUCUGAAAUUGGACCUAUUUGCAAAUUUUUAUAACGUUUUGGGUCAUACUAUAGUUUUAUAAAGUUUUGGGGUUAAAUUGUAAAUUUUGGGAAAUAUUUUACUGUAGCAGGUUAGUGUAGCAAGCGGCUUACCGGUUACUGAUAAACGGCAAGCCGAAUUCGGGGCAGUAAGCACCAGAACGAAAACGGCUUACCGGAUUCCGAAUCCGGCAAGCCGGUUAGGCAAAAUUUUGAAUUUUGCCUUAACGGUAACAUAAAUCCGGCUUACCGGAUUCCAUAAAACGGCAAACCGGAUAUCUCAGAAUGUGAGUAACGGCUAGUUUUCGAGUUCAAGCUAUAAGAACUCAAAUCCAACUCAUUUUGGAUCUCUCCAACAAGCAAAAUCAAAAAGCACACGUGAUAUCUUGAGUGUUCAAACUUGCGAAAUACAAACAUUGAAUCUUUUCUUGUUCUUCAUCAUUGUAUAUCUACUCAUUGAGUGAGUUUCAUUGUAAUCAUCAUUUGUUCAUCUCAUUUGUAAGAAUUUGAGUGUGUGAGACACUUGAGUGAAGAGAUUGGGAGAUAAUCUCUGUGUUGUAAAGGUUUAUUGACACCUCGAAGUCAAUUGUAAUUGUUGAAGCCUUGGAAAGGCUUGGAUAGUGAAAUCCUCGAGCUUGGAUCGCUUGGAGGCGUGGACGUAGGCGGGGAUUGCCGAACCACAUAAAAAUUCAUGUGUUUGUUUCUCUUCUCCCUUACUCUUUAAUUAUUGUGUUGUUAUUGAACUUAUUGUUUUCAAUUAUUGUUAAGAUAUUAGAUUACUUGUUGUGUGGAUUUGUUAGGAUAGAUUUAAAAAAAAAAAAAUCCAAUUCACCCCCCCUCUUAGGUUGCACACUUGUAUUUCACUAUUGUCUUCAAGUUCGAGUGCGGAGACUGUACUAUAAGGAGUCGACGACGCGAGAAAGACGGCGAAUUAGCUGCCUCAUCUUCAACUUAAAGGUAAAUUUUGGUGGAAUUUGAGUUGAAAUUGAGUGAGUUUGAGUGGGAAGAUGAGGUUUUGAGAGAAAGAAAAAGGGUGUUUGGUUGGCAAGAAAGUGAGAGAAAAUUUUUGGAUUUGGAAAGGGAUGGGUUCUUUGUUUUUACUUCUUUAUUGUUCUUUAUUGAGUAGAUGUUGACGGUACAAGCAUUAUAAUUAAGAUUUUCAACGGCAAAUAUAGAGAAAUAGAAGCAAACUUUGAUUUAGAGUAUGCAACAGCAUUUUUUGGUACUUUUCUUAGUUUUUUGUGGGGAAGCAUUAGAUACUAAUUAAGGUUUGUGGUCUGAACAGUAGCUAAAACCUUAACCAUAGUUUGAGGUUUCUUUUCUGGAACCAUUCAUGGUAAUUUCAGGCAGAGAUUGUGCAUCAUAUGCAGCAUGUCCGUGUCUCUUCAAUAGAAAGCUUUCAAGUUUGCAGUCUUACAAUGUAAUGAUUUGGUAAAGCAUUACAAUUUGUAGAUGUUCUGUCAUUUUUUGCACUCCUAUAUUUUCCUUAAUUAAUUAAUGGAAAAACUUGAGGUUCGCACUGCUCUAACAUUUGCUCUAUUUGCUCAUAAGCAUGUUGAUAUUGCAAUAUCCAGGUGAUAUGUAAUUUUCACCUUAUUUUUUUAUUUCAGCAUUUUUCUGGGUACUAUUUCAUACACACAAGGGCUUGCACUCAUGCUUUUUUAUCCUUCGAUAAACUUUGUAUCCAAAUAUCCUUUUCUUACCCAAUUAAAGAAGAGAGCAUGCUAAUGAUAAGUUUGCUUGCUUUUGAUGUAACAGGCCAUGCUGGUAGUGCCCAGGAUGCAGUAAAUAUUAUUUCUAGUUGAUAUAAUGGAUUGAGUAUGCAUUCAUUUCAGUUGUUUCAUGAAGAUAGAGUGAAUUCUAUUAAAUUGGCUCUUCCCUUGUUUUUUUAUAUUUAUUUUAAGGUAUUAUUAUGAAGAUUCUAUUAAACUUUAUUUUCAUUCGUUUUCUUUUACGAAAUUAAAAAUUAUACCCAAUUGGAAUUAUACACUACUCGUCCUUGAGAGAAUUAUGUAGACAGACAAAAGAAUAAAAGAAAUUUAGAGAAACUCAUGUGUUAGGAAGAGCUAGCCUAGGGAUGAAAGAAUUAUGCACAUGACCUUCCGAAUGCAAGUAUGAAUUUGGUGAAAAUUGAGAAACUUUUUUUUAUAUUAUUAUUAUUCAACUUUUUCAACGUGAUUUCCAAUAGUUCGCACGUUUGCUUUUGAUCUUUUUUUUUCUUUUUAUAGAUCUUUAACAUUUUAUUUUUACUUUUUAUUUUAUUUAUUUUAUUUUUGCAGCAUACUUCUUUAUGUUAUUAUGAGGACACUACACAAUAGAGCUUGAACUUCUGAAGAGUUUAAAUCAAGUUGUUGACAUUUUGUUU